rnacentral:lncRNA from 1 species
UAAUGUCUACUUUCUUCCUAGCCACUCUGGUCAAACACCUGUCCAGUUAGAAAGGAGGGCAAGAACAUGCUAAAGAGAGACGCAAAUAGGAAACAGAAAGAAAACAUCAAAGCCUUUGAGUACAUCCCCUUGGCUCUUGGGUGACUGGAGAAUACUCUCAAGAAUACUCAAGAAUAACAGUGUGAAUCUGAUUGGGUUUUUCCACUGAAAUUCAUCUUGAGGAGAUGAGAUGGGACCAGAAGGCCACUGGCACAUGGCACAGGCAUAGGAAGAACUCCAGAGACACUGGCAUUGGCAGAGAGCUCAGACAGGGCUGCUCAGCAUGGCCUCACCUUCUGCUGGAAACUAAGAGUCUCCAUGGAAAAGCACAUCGCAGUGCCCCAAAGCCCUCCACAGGUGUGAGCUUGCCCCUCACAGUGAUCGAUGGCACUUAUUAUCACCCAUGUGAUCCUUCCUGGAACACCUGGCCUCUAUCUCAGGUGCUUGAGAAAAGCCCUAUGAAUAUGGAACAAUUUCACUUUAUCUGACUGAAAACCUAAUUCCAUCAACCUUAACUGACAGCUUAUUUUAAAUUUAAAACACUGAAUAAAUGAAUGGACAAUCCUUGUAAGAAAGGAAACAGAGGGAGGGAGGGAAUCUGUUGGUCAUCAAAGUAGCUAAUGAUUCACACGGUUACAAUCGCUACUGAUCCUAGAGCCCUCAUAACGUGCCAGGCACCAUGCUUUGCUUAUGUGAGUCAUCCAAUUCAGCAAAUGCUUGGAGUAGCUGUUUCCCAGAAGAUGAGACUAACACUCAGAGAGAGGCUGGAUAUCUGUCUAAGGCCAGUGUUGUGUCUGAAAUCAUCUAAUGCCAUAGCCCAUGCUCUUAACCACUAUUAUUCCAAUUUGUAAAUAAUAUAUAAUUUAAGUAAAAAAUAAAGUGGAAUGUAGUGAACUAUGAAAGAUAUUAUGUGGCUAUCUUCUAAAAGGAAAUACCCUAGGGUCACUAACUCAUUUUCACAAUGUUCUUUCUCUUUUUUUUUCACAUAAUGCAUCUCAAGAGAAAUAUAAGAAUACUGCUACAUAACCGAGGUGCCAAGUACUCACUCUGUACCUAAAAGCAAAGAGAAAGGC